ensembl:lncRNA
CUCGCACAUCUUUUGUGUUGUGUUUGGAUGUCCUCUGUUGGAGUGUGAAUGUCUUUUUCAUUGUAUGGUGGAAGAGAGAUUCUGAUAAAAUAUUUUGAACAGAAGGAUGAGAUUUCUACAUGCCCCCUGCAAAUCAGUUCUCAGAGUCGGACCAGGACGUACACACUGGGCCCUGGUUCUCAGGCCUUCAGACUCAGACUGAACCACACCAGCAGCUCUCCUGGGUCUCCAGCUUGCAGACAGCAGAAGGCAGGACUUCUAAGCCUCCAUAACCAUACUCUCUCGUAGGAAGAAACAGCAGAGACGCUUCUGCUGCGAGGUCAGCAGAAGGAGGAAGAGUUUCCUGUAAGGACGCCCAGCACUAAGGAACACAGGGACCCAUGACACUCCUCGGAAGGGAAGCCAAGAACGAGCUCACGGAGCGAGCGGGACGCUCCGGGGAGGCUGGCGGCGGAGCUCGAGGUCUCCCGGUCAACAUUACAUGGUCAUCAGAAGUGGGAUCCAGAGAAAACCCCCAACAACUCUGAGGCUGGUGAGCAAAUAGGUACUAGUACCCACAGAGCCAUUGAGCUUUCUGCUUUCUUGCCGACCCUGGAGUUUGGGUGACAAGGUCCGCUUCUGCUGUUGGUCCCCUCCUGAUGAGAGGCUGUAAGAGGUUUUUCCCUAGUUUUCUGUUAUAUCAAAAUUAUUUCCUGUGCUUUAUUUUAAAGAUUUUAUUUUUUCCUUUUUCUCCCCAAAGCCCCCCUGUACACAGUUGUAUAUUCUUCAUUGUGGGUCCUUCUAGUUGUGGCAUGUGGGACGCUGCCUCAGUGUGGUCUGAUGAGCAGUGCCAUGUCCAUGCCCAGGAUUCGAACCAACGAAACACUGGGCUGCCUGCAGCGGAGCGCGCGAACUUAACCGCUCAGCCACGGGGCCAGCCCCUCCUGUGCUUUAUUUUAAAGGCUGAGUCUUUUCUAUUAAAAAGUGCUAAGGUUUUGCAGCUAUGUAACCUUCUAUAUUUGUCUUUGAAAUCCUUUUGUUACUGGUUAAAUGGAUAAUUAAAUAUUGUUUCAUAAUUUUCUGUGAUCCUAUUUGGUCUUAUGUCCAAAGCCUUUUGACAUUUUUGACAAACUUCCCAAAAAUCAAAUUCUAAAUAAAGUCUUUUUGACCUGAAAAUAACUUUGGGAAUUUCCAGACGGUGCCUGGGACUUCUCAAAGGAUUUGUUCUCUCUUCCUAUAAAAAGGGAAAUGUUGAACUAAUUGGACUUAUUUGAUAUGUCAAAUUACAUGGAAAGCAUCAUCAAAUAAAUGAUGAUAAACCUUCUUACGUUAUAUUAUAUAGGUGAAUGUUGUUAAAAUAAAUGUUCUAGAGAUUGUAUGAAAAUUCCUAAAAUUCUGAUAUUUCCUGGUAUAAUGUUAUUAGUCAUAGUUUUAGAAUGUAUGUCACAGAAGUGACCAAAUUUACUUGUUGAUUAUGUUAUAAUGAACUUUCACCAGAUCUUUAACCAUUGCUAUUUUUAAUUUUUUGUCAUUUACAGAGUUAUUAUUUUACUCUGGUGCUUUUACAAAUAUGUUUUAUCUGCAGAGAAAUUCAUUGAAAAAUACUCUAGAAUGCAGGUGUUUGAUAACUUUAAGAUCAUCACACUGAGCUGCAUUUAAAGGACCUUCUUUUCUCCUCUAUGAGAAAAUGUAUAUUUGCAACAAAGGUUAAAACAUUUGUCUUUGUCUCCCUACCUGAUCUUUCCAGAAUUCAGAAACUCUUAAGUAUUCCUUUCAUGACAAUAUAUGUAUUUCCAUAAAUUCAAUGAGAAUCUGUUCUUCUUAGAGCAGGACACAAUUGGAAGGAUUAGCUAUAUUAUCAAGCAUUUGACCAGGAUGUCAUAUUCGAAAGAGAUAUAUACAGACUCAGAUAUUUACUAUGAUUAUCUUUGAUAAAAAUGGGAGUAAUCAUGGAGUGACAUAAGCAUCAUGGUGGAGUGAACUUUCCCAGUAAUCUUCCCCCUCUGACAUACAAUGAAAAAACAAACUCCAACAAAGGACAUCCAAACACAAGACAGAUUUAAUGUCAGAGAGAGACGUGCAGCCAUACAACAGAGGGCAGAGAGGCUGGAGCCCCCCUCAGAAGAGGUGGAACAGGGUGAGAGAAAACUUCACUCCCCACCCAAAAACAUCCAUACUCCUGACUGUUGAUCAACAAUGCUUUUGAAGAAAGAUCUUGAUGAAAAAGGGAAAAUGUGAAAGACAAUAAAGGAAAACUCAUUUAAAAUGAAGUCAGAAGUCCAGAAGGGAGAGCCCUCGCACACUACUACUCCACAUCAAUUACAGACCCCAACAGGAAGAAUCAUCAGUUUAACUACCCUCAGCAGAAGGAAGAUUUCCUCCUUGCCCAGCAACUCAGCCAAUGAGAAAUCAUCACCACCCUGAACUCUCACUUUCCAACAAUGGAUUUUCAUUCAAAACAACCCCUCCCAACUUCCUCCUUUUUCUCCAUAAAGUAACGUUCUUCUCGUUUGUUUGCUGGACUUGCGUAUGGCUUUUGCUAUAGCUUGCUUGUCCUGAAUUGCAAUUCCUCUCCUAUUCCAAAAUAAACCCAUUUUGAUGGUAAAAUAACUAGCUGUUUUGUUUAAGUCCACAGUCUCAGGUCUUGUGCUUAUUAUAGAUUUUUUGCCUUGGAUUCUUUAACUGGAAGCAAAAGUCAGCUUUAUUUAAAAGGAAAAAU